rnacentral:lncRNA from 1 species
CUACAUGAGGUUUGGCAUGCCUUUUUAUUUUGCCAAUGGACUUGGAGGCAGCUGUUGAAAACAAAUUAGUUGGAUUCUCUGUGAUUUUGUUUCUUUGCUGCCUCCACUCCUACCUCGCUUGUGCUGCAAACUCCAUAUCUGGUUUGAGCACUUCCUAAUGGCCUUUAACUUUUUCCUAUUAAAUUUUAUUUCAUAUUUUCCAGUUUAUAUGUGCUGUUGUAGUUAUGCUUCACGUGCUUCUUCCUUCGGAUGCUUUACUAAGGAAUAUGAAUCAAAUUGGAAUGCAGAAUCAUCCAUGGAAGGACAAACUAGG